rnacentral:rRNA from 1 species
UACGUAGGGGGCAAGCGUUGUCCGGAAUCAUUGGGCGUAAAGCGCGUGUAGGCGGCUCGGUAAGUCCGCUCUGAAAGUCCAGGGCUCAACCCUGGGAUGCGGGUGGAUACUGCCGGGCUCGAGUCCGGAAGAGGCGAGUGGAAUUCCCGGUGUAGCGGUGAAAUGCGCAGAUAUCGGGAGGAACACCAAUGGCGAAGGCAGCUCGCUGGGACGUGGACUGACGC